GCCUCGACGGUGUAGUGGUCAAGACCUCCGUCUGGUAAUCAGAAGAGCGUGGGUUCAAUCCCGGUCGAGGUA
rnacentral:tRNA from 1 species